UACGAAGGGGGCUAGCGUUGUUCGGAAUCACUGGGCGUAAAGCGCACGUAGGCGGACUUUUAAGUCAGGGGUGAAAGCCUGGAGCUCAACUCCAGAACUGCCUUUGAUACUGAAAGCCUAGAGUUCGGAAGAGGUUGGUGGAACUGCGAGUGUAGAGGUGAAAUGCGUAGAUAUUCGCAAGAACACCAGUGGCGAAGGCGGCCAACUGGUCCGACACUGACGCUGAGGUGCGAAAGCGUGGGGAGCAAACAGG
rnacentral:rRNA from 1 species